rnacentral:rRNA from 2 species
GAGUAACCUGCCCUUGACUCUGGGAUAAGCCUGGGAAACCGGGUCUAAUACUGGAUACGACCUUCCCGCGCAUGCGGUGUUGGUGGAAAGCUUUUGUGGUUUUGGAUGGACUCGCGGCCUAUCAGCUUGUUGGUGGGGUAAUGGCCUACCAAGGCGACGACGGGUAGCCGGCCUGAGAGGGUGACCGGCCACACUGGGACUGAGACACGGCCCAGACUCCUACGGGAGGCAGCAGUGGGGAAUAUUGCACAAUGGGCGCAAGCCUGAUGCAGCGACGCCGCGUGAGGGAUGAAGGCCUUCGGGUUGUAAACCUCUUUCAGUAGGGAAGAAGCUGAUUCCUUUUGGGGUUGGUGACGGUACCUGCAGAAGAAGCGCCGGCUAACUACGUGCCAGCAGCCGCGGUAAUACGUAGGGCGCAAGCGUUAUCCGGAAUUAUUGGGCGUAAAGAGCUC